rnacentral:rRNA from 1 species
UACGUAGGCAGCAAGCGUUGUUCGGAUUUACUGGGCGUAAAGGGUGUGUAGGCGGUUUUUUAAGUUUGGUGUGAAAUCUCCCGGCUCAACUGGGAGGGUGCGCCGAAUACUGAAAGACUAGAGUGCGGGAGAGGAAAGUGGAAUUCCUGGUGUAGCGGUGAAAUGCGCAGAUAUCAGGAGGAACACCGGUGGCGAAGGCGGGUCUCUGGGCCGUAACUGACGCUGAGGAGCGAAAGCGUGGGGAGCAAACAGG